AUCUACCAUGGGACCUGGCUCUGUGAUUGAACUUCAUAAUUAAUCAGCGGGAGAUUUUUCUCAUUCACCAUUCUUAGAGAGCAUUUCAUGAAAAAAAGCCAAACAUGCACCUGGCGUUUCCUUGGCCUCCGUGUCAGAUAUCCACUGCCACAGCAAUGUUGCCUAAGGAGUAACCAUAACGCAUCAGAGGUUUCCCAGCACUGAAGCCAAGCUGCGCGCCACCUAGGAUCUAUCGCGAGGCUCUUGGAAGAAUCUGUUUCGAAGCUCUUUCGGGUUGUUGGCAGAAUCUCUUUCUCUAUGGUUGCAGCGCUGAAGUCCUCUUGCCCUGUUGGCUGUGUUCCUCUGGUCCUCGUCUGUGGGUUCCUGCAUCUUGGAGCCAGCAGCAUUGCACUGCCUCUUUCUUAUGCCUGGAAACUCUUUCCCUUCUGCAGUAUCUCUCUCUUUGCCUCUUCUUCUGCCCACCUUCUGAUUCUAGCCUGAGAAAGUUCUCUGCUUGGACAUUGUGAUCACCUUGGUCCCACACAGAUAAUUCAGGAUAACCUCCCAUUUGAAGGGCUCUCAGUACAAGACCGCUCGGGUGCUCUUACGGCUAACACUUCUGAAGUUUGACCUCCUGCUUUGCCACCUGUACAUCCGCCAUGUUCCUUUCAACUAAGACUUUAUAUAGUUGUUCAGUGGAAUCCUAGGGGCGUUGGAGACGUCACUUCUGGGGUAGAGCUAGGCUACAGGGAGAAGAGGUGCAGACCACGAUGACUUCAACCAGAGCAUCUCUGCUGUCAUCUGACUUCUAUACUGGAAUCUGAAUGUUUCACUUGAAGUAGCAGUGAACGAUUUAAAAGCCAGUGCCUCGUAGAUGACUGGGUGUCUUUAAGUCCUAGCUGUUUUCUCAAACGUGAGUUCCUAUCUUCAUAAGUUGCCAUAAUCCUGUGCUCCAACGUAGAUCCCUACUCCUCAACACGGUGCACUGAUGAAUCUAUUCCUAGAUCCCAGUUUUCUGUUUGAGAUUCCGUUUCCUGCUGGAUCUGCCUGCAUGAAUAUAUGUGCAGUCAAUGUGCCUAAAUUCUUACCUUAACUGAAAUGAGACCCACUCCUCUCUUGGAUGGGCCUUUUCAAUGCCAGCUGCUUGUCUGGAUGGAUGCCAGAUUCUGUCUGUCGUUCUACUCUCUCAGGUGAAGCUUGCUCCUGGACAGUUUUCUGCAGCGUUUUCUCAACUACGGCGGCUGAGGUUGGUUUGAGAUAUCUGCUUUUCUGCUGGUGAUCCCAAUUAUGUGGUCCCAACCACACUGAACCCCGCAGUGUCAUGACACAUUAGGAAAUGGGCCAGGAGUGAAAUAAUGGGUCAUCUGGAGCUAGAGGUUAAAUCAGAAACUCUUUGGCUUGGGGAAACUUAUUUUGUGACCGUGUAUGAGAGAGACAAGAGCUAGGAGGCGGGAAAUAAGAGAGUUUCGUGGGUGAGGCUAAACAGUGGUCUAGGUGAGAGGUUAAGAAGCCAACAGAGUGACGUAUGGAAGGGAAAAAAAAGAAUGAAUCAGGAGAUAUAUGGAUACAGAGAACUUUGUGGUAAGAUUACCUUCUGGCACGCAAGGCGGUUGUACUUCACUGCCCUUUGAACGUAGAUGGACCAUACUAUUUGCUUGAACUAAAGACACGUGGGUAGUAAUGAUUUUGUAACAUCUGAAAACAUUCAGAGCUGCUUGGAGUUUCUCCCCAUCCUCUCUGCCCUCAGAAACCUGGUAUUGUUUGCAGGAGCUAAUAGGAGCAGAACAGCCUGAAAUUACUGGGUCUCUAUCAGAAUUGCCCUGGCGAGGCACUCAGAUACCCAUAGAACCCCGUGUAUUGUGCUCAACCACUUUCUCAGGGGGAGUCGGAGGGGAAGACAUGGUCUCUGCAGCAUAGCCUAGCCUAGCCUGUAAAAUGCAUAUUCCAUCAAAAAUGAUUUUACUUCUUGGCAAGUAUGACCUGGAGUAUACACGUU